rnacentral:rRNA from 2 species
UGUCUGGUGGGUAGUUUGACUGGGGCGGUCUCCUCCUAAAGAGUAACGGAGGAGCACGAAGGUUGGCUAAUCCUGGUCGGACAUCAGGAGGUUAGUGCAAUGGCAUAAGCCAGCUUGACUGCGAGCGUGACGGCGCGAGCAGGUGCGAAAGCAGGUCAUAGUGAUCCGGUGGUUCUGAAUGGAAGGGCCAUCGCUCAACGGAUAAAAGGUACUCCGGGGAUAACAGGCUGAUACCGCCCAAGAGUUCAUAUCGACGGCGGUGUUUGGCACCUCGAUGUCGGCUCAUCACAUCCUGGGGCUGAAGUAGGUCCCAAGGGUAUGGCUGUUCGCCAUUUAAAGUGGUACGCGAGCUGGGUUUAGAACGUCGUGAGACAGUUCGGUCCCUAUCUGCCGUGGGCGCUGGAGAACUGAGGGGGGCUGCUCCUAGUACGAGAGGACCGGAGUGGACGCAUCACUGGUGUUCGGGUUGUCAUGCCAAUGGCACUGCCCGGUAGCUAAAUGCGGAAGAGAUAAGUGCUGAAAGCAUCUAAGCACGAAACUUGCCCCGAGAUGAGUUCUCCCUGAGACUUAGAGUCUCCUGAAGGAACGUUGAAGACGACGACGUUGAUAGGCCGGGUGUGUAAGCGCAGCGAUGCGUUGAGCUAACCGGUACUAAUGAACCGUGAGGCUUAACCUUACA